AACAUCGUUAGGUAAAUACUGGUAUAUAGAAGUAAAUAUAAGUCUUCAAGCAGAGCCAUUAUUUUAUAAACGGCGAGUCUAUAAUAACACUAUGAGUGUAUCUGACAGGGCAUGAAACACAUCUGUUGAUUAUGCAAGACAUGCUGAGAGAAAGAACAAUAUCCUAAAGUAACGGAUUUACGUCUGAUGCAAUACUUCACCUGAAUCUGACACUGGUCAAUUCUCUGGGACAUAUUAUGUAAGACCACAACACCAAUGCUGAUUUAAAUUGCAAAAAAAAAAAUCAUGUUUUCAAUGUCGAAGAUUUUGGAAGAUAUUGAGUUACGGACUUACCUACUUUAACAUUGACAGUCAUUUCAGGAAUAUAUUUGAUUGACAAGCCUAUUGGAAAAGAUAUAUUUUAUCAGGAAGGUUACAAGAAGGUUAUUUCAUAUCUUCAGCACUGCUCUUAUAUGAUAUUUUCUGUUUAUUCAAAUAAACUUGUAUAAAUUCAGAACGCGGUUGUAAAGGUACCUCAUAAUUUCCAGCUAUUGAUUUCUAAUACACUCAGAGCCAAUAAACCAAAAGAGAUGGAAAGAACCUAUUGGUUUGAGCGCUGUAAUUAAUUUCUAAUUCGGAAUAUGUGUUUAUUGCUAACUCAUAAAUAACAAGAAUUUUAAUAAA